CAGAUGUUCUCAGUGAGCUGGGUGAGAAGAAAGCCUGUGGGACUGGAGGACUGCUGGAUCACAAUCACCACAAGUGUUUGAGAUCAUCCUUGCGUACCUGGAGAAGGCAGACUGGAAGGACGCCUUGUCAGUGUCUUGCCACAGCGGAAAGGGGCUGUUGCAUUGGGAGAGGCCGAUGAUUCAUCCAAGCAUGCUCUGUCUGGAAAAGAAGAUGAAGACGAUGACUCGGACAGCAACUAGGCUUCACAAUGAGACAACGGGAAAGAUGGGACACGUAGUCCAUGGGAUGAAGUUGGGACGUGAAGUGGUUCCGCUCCAAAGACCAUCUGCUGCCCUUGUGACACCGGAUUGUCCCAAUGCUCGAUAGUUCCGUAGCUGGCCCAGAGCUGUUUCUGGACAUGAAGGGCAAAGAUAAAUGCGUUUUUUUACCCUGAAGCUUCCGUAUUAAUAGCUUAUUUUUAUAAAAAAUAAACCAAUGGCAAAUGUAGAAUUUAUUUUGUUUCCCAAGGAAGCGAUUGCAUUCCUGGUUUUUUUUUUUUUUAAUUCUUUUAAAUGUGACUUUUUCUACAUACCAAGUUGGGCACGUUACCCAAGAGCAUUAGUAGAUGCUAUUUGAAUGGAUGCCGCCUUCUCUGUUUCUGCCCUAAGUUUUCUUGAAAGCGGUGAAUGGUGACCUCACAACCUGUUCCGCUAGUGCCGUUGCAAAGUGUGCAUGAACACUCGGCACAAACAAGCAGAAAUUCUAAUUUUCCUGAGCUCCUCAACAGACAAUCACCAGCAACCAAGCUGCCUUCAUCAGCUGAGCCACGCUGACUUGUAUACCAUGUGUAGUUAGCUGGGGUCGGUAGAUGAGCUACGAGCGUGGGGUUACGCCAAUGCUUUAGACUUCAGCUUGAGCAGGGUGGAUGUCUGCGCAAGCGCAAAUCACGUGCCUUGGUUGGCACAUGGUGCGCAUGGAGUUGAGGCGUCACGAUCGCUUUUGGUUACUUCUCGGUCCUCUUAGCAAAAUUGAUCACGGAGCCUCAGAACAGUACCAGGAGGCAGGAGCUCUCUCUUUCAGGUCACUUACCGAGUUUCAGUAGGCCUGAUUUAUGACAUGAUCCUGCGUGCAUUGUUUUCUCUGUCAAAUAUUUUUCCUUUACAAAAAGAGGCAUAGUCUCAGUCUUGGCUGGAUGUUCUGGUUCCACUCGUUUCUAACUGACUGAAGUGCUCCUGCAAAGGACAGAAACAGAGACCGUGGAAGCGCGGCUUCGCUUCAGGCUUGUGAGCCUGCCCCAUCCCUUUCUCCUGUAGGGACUAGCCAGGUAACUGCGGCUUCUGAGCAAGUACAGCUUCUGCGCGGGUCAGCUGAAGAGCGUAAGAAGACAUCAUCGUAACUGUUGUUCUGAGCUGAGCUGGAAUCAGGGGGCUGACCCAGGCAUGGCUUGGCUUGUAUCCAUUUUCAUUCCUCCCUCUGUUGUUACGGCUUUCAAACGGAGACUAGAAGUGGGAUCCCCACAGGCCUGUAAAGGGUUGGCAACCAACAGGUUGUGGCUUUCUACAGUCGGUGCGUUUCCGUCUGUUCUUUUUGAAUAGCCAUAGAAAAGCCUGUUCUGUUAGAAGGGUGCCUAGUGGCUUGAGUAAUGUGGGCUUUUUUGUUAGGCUUUAUAGAAAUGUGAUUGCUUUUGUUCCAGAAACGAGAACAGCUUUUUCAUGAGAGCAUUGCUGCUCUUAUUUCUGUAACAAGAAGUGCAUCGUGAGUGUGCCUGCCAUCUAUUACGCUGAUUCUCUGAUGUAAACGUGUCAAGCAAUGCAAUUACAAGGAGUUACAUCGUUACAGCUGAGGUUCUGCGCGUUAAUGCACAUAGCACCUAUUAAACCUGAUCUAAGGCU